rnacentral:rRNA from 1 species
GACGAACGCUGGCGGCGUGCUUAACACAUGCAAGUCGAACGGAAAGGCCCUGCUUGCAGGGUGCUCGAGUGGCGAACGGGUGAGUAACACGUGGGUGAUCUGCCCCUUACUUUGGGAUAAGCCUGGGAAACUGGGUCUAAUACUGGAUAGGACCAUGCUGUAGGUGGUGUGGUGGAAAGAUUAGUUUCGGUAAGGGAUGGGCUCGCGGCCUAUCAGCUUGUUGGUGGGGUAAUGGCCUACCAAGGCGUCGACGGGUAGCCGGCCUGAGAGGGUGGACGGCCACAUUGGGACUGAGAUACGGCCCAGACUCCUACGGGAGGCAGCAGUGGGGAAUAUUGCACAAUGGGCGCAAGCCUGAUGCAGCGACGCCGCGUGGGGGAUGACGGCCUUCGGGUUGUAAACUCCUUUCAGCCAUGACGAAGCCCUUGUGGUGACGGUAGUGGUAGAAGAGGCACCGGCUAACUACGUG